AUUGAACGCUGGCGGAAUGCUUUAAACAUGCAAGUCGAACGGCAGCACGGACUUCGGUCUGGUGGCGAGUGGCGAACGGGUGAGUAAUGUAUCGGAACGUGUCCAGGCGUGGGGGAAAACGUCGUGAAAAAUAAGAUAAUCCCGCAUACUAUCAAUGGAUGAAAGCGGGGGAACGCAAAACCUCGCGCGAUUGGAGCGGCCGAUCUCAUAUUAGGUAGUUGGUGGGGUAAAGGCCCACCAAGCCAACGAUCUGUAGCUGGCCGGAGAGGAAGACGAGCCACACUAGAGGUGAGCCACGGCCCAGACGACGGCGGGAGGCAGCAGUGGUGAAGUAUGGACAAUGGGCGAAAGCCUGAUCCAGCAAGGCCGCGUGCUGGAUGAAGACUCUCGUGUUGUAAACUGCUUUUGUACAGAACGAAAAGGUUUCUACUAAUACUAGGAGCUCAUGACGGUACUGUAAGAAUAAGCACCGGCUAACUAUGUGCCAGCAGCCGCGGUAA
rnacentral:rRNA from 1 species